rnacentral:rRNA from 1 species
CGAACGCUGGCGGCAGGCCUAAUACAUGCAAGUCGAACGGCUCUUCGGAGCAGUGGCGGACGGGUGAGUAACGCGUGGGAAUGUGCCCUUUGGUACGGAACAACACAGGGAAACUUGUGCUAGUACCGUAUGUGCCCUUCGGGGGAAAGAUUUAUCGCCAUUGGAGCAGCCCGCGUUGGAUUAGGUAGUUGGUGAGGUAAAGGCUCACCAAGCCUACGAUCCAUAGCUGGUCUGAGAGGAUGACCAGCCACACUGGGACUGAGACACGGCCCAGACUCCUACAGGAGGCAGCAGUAGGGAAUCUUGCGCAAUGGGCGAAAGCCUGACGCAGCCAUGCCGCGUGUAUGAUGAAGGUCUUAGGAUUGUAAAAUACUUUCACCGGGGAAGAUAAUGACGGUACCCGGAGAAGAAGCCCCGGCUAACUUCGUGCCAGCAGCCGCCGUAAAAC